AAAAAAGAUGGUGCCAACAUACAACAUGUAAGAACCACAAGAAGUUCAACAACUUGAUCAAGAUUGGCAGUUGCCACCAUCCCAGUUCCUCAAUAUUAACUUUGAUGGAGCAAUCAAUUCUAGUCUUGGUUUUAGCAGUGAUGGACUUGGGGUUCAUGAUUCUGAUGACCUAUUGAUUCGACAAGCUAAAGCUGUAUCAUGGGAUGGGAAUACAGACGCUAAAACAUGGAGGAUAUGGCUAUUAUCAGGGAUAAGAUCUUUGUUUGUCUAAAGGAUUUUGCGGGUUAUCAAGGAGAUUCUCAAAGCAUUGUUGGUACUGUGUUUGGAACAAUUCUGUCAGAUGUUUCCUGCUGGAAGUCUUUUUUUCAUCUUUCUUGCGAAUGUAAUUGUAUUUGGAAGCCACUCUUUUGCUGUACCUUGUUAUUUUAUGAAUCCACAUCUCCCAACUACCUUUGGCAACUAAAUAGAUAAAAGAAUAUUGAUGGAAAUGAAUCUUAACAUAUAAUACCU
rnacentral:misc_RNA from 1 species